UACGGGGGGGGCAAGCGUUGUUCGGAAUUACUGGGCGUAAAGGGCGCGUAGGCGGCCACCUAAGUCAGACGUGAAAUCCCUCGGCUCAACCGAGGAACUGCGUCUGAUACUGGAAGGCUUGAAUCCGGGAGAGGGAUGUGGAAUUCCAGGUGUAGCGGUGAAAUGCGUAGAUAUCUGGAGGAACACCGGUGGCGAAGGCGGCAUCCUGGACCGGUAUUGACGCUGAGGCGCGAAAGCUAGGGGAGCAAACGGGG
rnacentral:rRNA from 1 species